rnacentral:rRNA from 1 species
AUUGAACGCUGGCGGCAGGCCUAACACAUGCAAGUCGAACGAGUGGCGGACGGGUGAGUAAUGUCUGGGAAACUGCCUGAUGGAGGGGGAUAACUACUGGAAACGGUAGCUAAUAGCGCAUACCAUCGGAUGUGCCCAGAUGGGAUUAGCUAGUAGGUGGGGUAAAGGCUCACCUACGCGACGAUACCUAGCUGGUCUUAGAGGAUGACGCGCCACGCUGGGGCUGCGACAAGGUCCCGACUCAUACGGGAGGCAGGAGUGGGGGUUAUUGGGCAAGGGGGGCAAGCCUGAUGCCGCACUGCCGGGUGUAUGAAGAGGGCCUUCGGGUUGUAAGGUACUUACAGCGAGGAGGCGUCCCCCGCAGAGGAAGCACCGGCGAACUCCGUGCCAACAGCCGCGGUAAUUC